ensembl:lncRNA
GUGUGCUUUUUUCAAAUGACAUUUUGCGAUAGUUGGGAUGUUAAGCUGAGAGCAAAUUUAUCAAAGACAGAGCACCUCUGUCAGUUGCUGUGGAAAAAAAUGUUUCCAGUUGCAAAUACAGUAUUUGUCAGUUUGUCUUUCAGGUUUGGUCUUGCUUCAGCGGCCCCUACUGGUAUAAGGUAACUGUUGCUCAGUCAUGAUAUAUUGUCUUCAGAAAACAUUCAUACUCAUUGACUUCUUCCACAUUUUGUGUUACAGCCUCAAUUUAAAAUCGAUGAAAUAUAUAUUUUUCUCACCCAUCUACAGAUAAUACCCCAAAGUGAAAACAUGUUUAAGAAAAUAUAUUUGAUUUUAACUAGGCAAGUCAGUUAAGGACAAGUUCUUAUUUACAACGACAGCCUACCGGGGAGCAGUGGACUAACUUCCUUGUUCAGGGGCAGAAUGACAGAUUUUUUACCUUGUCAGCUUGGAGAUUUGAUCCAGCAAUCAUUCGGUUACUGGCUCACCGCUCUAACCACUAGGCUACCUGCUGCCAAGCUGACAUAAGACAGAAAUAUGUCAUUGACAUAAGUCUUCACACCCCUUAGUCAAUAAAUGUUAGAAUCACUUUUGGCAGCGAUUACAGCGUUUGGCUUUCUAGUUAAGUCUCUUAAGAGCUUUGCACACCAGGAUUGCACAUUAUCUGCACAUCAUUUUUUUAAUUCUUCAAGCUCUGUCAUGUUGGUUGUUAAUCAUUGCUAGACAGCCAUUUUCAAGUCUUGCCAAAGAUUUUCCAAGACAGUUUUAAGUCGACUGUAUCUAGGCCACUCAGGAACAUUCAAUGUUGUCUUGUUCUUGCCGAUGACAAGCAGACCCAUAACAUGAUGCAGCCACCACCAUGCUUGAAGAUAUGAAGAGUGGUACUUUGCAAUGGGUUGUUGGAUUUGCCCCAAAUAUAACACUGUGUAUUCAGGACAUAAAGUUGAUUUCUUUGCCAAAUUUUUUGUAGUUUUGCUUUGGUGCAUUAUUGCAAACAGGAUG